UCAUUGUUAACUUAUAAGUGUUGUGGGCCGUUAGGCCUUUUUGUGGCAGAUAUCGCGUGAAGUUGACCCCGUGUGGAGAACGGGGCGAGAUUAUGACUCUCAGGGGUUGAGGGGGGGCCGCGCAAACGCGGGAUGAUGUGGAUUAAUUCUAUGAAACGCGAAAAAACUUACAUACCCUUGAGAUGUCUGGAAAACCGAAGAGAUUAGGGCGUGCUCCUCAGAGAACCGAAACACAGGUGCUGCAUGGUUGUCGUCAGCUCGUGUCGGGAGAUGUUGGGUUAAGUCCCCCAACAAGCGCAACCCUUGCCAUUAGUUGCUACCCAAGAGCACUCUAAUGAAACAGGCGGGCACAAGAAAAACGAAAGGGGAGAGGACGUCCGGUCCUAAUGGCCUUUAUGGGUAGGGCUGCACACUUCAUACAAUGGUCGGGACAGAGGGACGACAACCGACAAGGGGAGGCGAAUCUAAAAAACCAAACGGAGUUCGGAUCGCAUUCUGCAAUUCAACUGCCUGAGUCAGAAUCGCUUCUAAUCGCUGAUCGAAAUGUCGUGGCGAAAGAUUCCCGGCUCUUGUCUUCCGCACCGCACCCAUGCCAGUGGAUUUUGUAUAACAAAACCCUAACCUAACGUUGGGGAUUACC
rnacentral:rRNA from 1 species